AUGGAGGACAGCGGCGACGACCACGGCGCCUUCAUGGAGAAAUUCAUCCUGCUGCCGCCUCCUUCCUCCGAUCAGCAGCAGCAGCAGCUACCCCUGCACGGCCUCACCUUCGCCAUCAAGGACAUCUUCGACGUCGCCGGACGCGUCACCGGCUUCGGCACCCCGGACUGGGCCAGGACGCACGCGCCGGCCGCCGCCACGGCGCCCGCCGUGCUAGCCGCGCUGGCCGCCGGCGCCACGGGCGUGGGCAAGACCGUGAUGGACGAGAUGGCCUACAGCAUCAACGGCGAGAACGCCCACUACGGCACCCCUGCCAACCCGUGCGCCCCCGGCCGCGUCCCCGGCGGCUCCUCCAGCGGCUCCGCCGUCGCCGUCGCCGCCAGCCUCGCCGACUUCGCCCUCGGCACCGACACCGGCGGCAGCGUCAGGGUGCCCGCCGCCUACUGCGGCAUCUUCGGCCUCCGCCCCUCCCACGGACUGGUCUCCGUCGAGAACGUCGUCCCCAUGGCGCAGAUGUUCGACACCGUCGGGUGGUUUGCUAGAGAUCUGCCUACGCUGUCUCGUGUCACCGACGUGAUGCUGCCGCCGGUGCCAGCUGCCGCCGACGAUGAUGCCGAGAUACCACGACGACCGAGCCGUGUCAUCAUUCCUGCAGACUGUUUCAAGAUCUUGGGCUCUGUGGACGACCACACCUACGAGAUCCUCAACGCUUCAGCGGCCAAGAUAUUCGGCAGUGAUGCAGUGGUGGACAAUGGAAACCUUGGUGAUUUUGUCUCCAGCAAUGUUCCGAGCAUCGGCAAGUUCAUGACCGACUUGUCUGCGGUAGAAGCAUCAUCGUCGUGUGUGCCGCCUCUGUCUGCCAUCUCACGUGUCAUGCGAGUUCUUCAAAGGUCUGAAUUCAAAGCAAACCACGCGGAGUGGGUGAACACGGUGAAGCCCAACCUCGGCCCUGGCAUCCGAGAGCGAGUGCAGGAGGCCAUUGCGUCGGAGGAUGAUUCUGCCAUGGAUGAUCUUCAUGCCGUCAGGACCGAAUUCAAGUCUGCACUUGCGGCUCUCCUCAAGGACGACGGAAUCCUGGCAAUCCCUACGGUCCCCGGCGCGCCGCCGAAGCUACGCAUGGACGCGACUCUGCUGGAGGACUUCCGGGCAAGGGCCUUCUCGCUGCUGUCCAUCGCCGGCCUGUCGGGGUUCUGCCAGGUCAGCAUCCCGCUGGGCACCCGCUGCGGUGUCCCGGUGUCAGUCUCGCUGCUCGCGCGGCACGGCGCCGACCGUUUCCUCGUCGCCGUGGCCCAGGAGCUCCACGAGGCGCUCCAAGGCGAGGCCGCCGCAGCCUGGGGUUCUUUGGCUUAG
rnacentral:rRNA from 1 species